AGAGUUUGAUCCUGGCUCAGGAUGAACGCUGGCGGCGUGCCUAAUACAUGCAAGUCGAGCGAACGGACGAGAAGCUUGCUUCUCUGAUGUUAGCGGCGGACGGGUGAGUAACACGUGGAUAACCUACCUAUAAGACUGGGAUAACUUCGGGAAACCGGAGCUAAUACCGGAUAAUAUUUUAAACCGCAUGGUUCAAAAGUGAAAGACGGUCUUGCUGUCACUUACAGAUGGAUCCGCGCUGCAUUAGCUAGUUGGUAAGGUAACGGCUUACCAAGGCAACGAUGCAUAGCCGACCUGAGAGGGUGAUCGGCCACACUGGAACUGAGACACGGUCCAGACUCCUACGGGAGGCAGCAGUAGGGAAUCUUCCGCAAUGGGCGAAAGCCUGACGGAGCAACGCCGCGUGAGUGAUGAAGGUCUUCGGAUCGUAAAACUCUGUUAUUAGGGAAGAACAUAUGUGUAAGUAACUGUGCACAUCUUGACGGUACCUAAUCAGAAAGCCACGGCUAACUACGUGCCAGCAGCCGCGGUAAUACGUAGGUGGCAAGCGUUAUCCGGAAUUAUUGGGCGUAAAGCGCGCGUAGGCGGUUUUUUAAGUCUGAUGCGAAAGCCCACGGCUCAACCGUGGAGGGUCAUUGGAAACUGGAAAACUUGAGUGCAGAAGAGGAAAGUGGAAUUCCAUGUGUAGCGGUGAAAUGCGCAGAGAUAUGGAGGAACACCAGUGGCGAAGGCGACUUUCUGGUCUGUAACUGACGCUGAUGUGCGAAAGCGUGGGGAUCAAACAG
rnacentral:rRNA from 1 species